GUCUUUUCGUAUAAAUAUAAAGUCUCGCCUGCCCACUGAAUUUUAAAUGGCCGCUGUAUAUUGACCGUGCUAAGGUAGCAUAAUCAUUAGUUUUUUUAUUGAAAGCUGGAAUGAAGGGUUGGAUGAAAAAAAAACUGUCUUUAUUUAAUUUAAAAAGAAAUUUAUUUUUAAGUUAAAAAGCUUAAAUUUUUUUAAAAGACGAGAAGACCCUGUAGAGUUUAAUAAAUUUAAAAAUAUAUUUUUUUAGAAUUUAAUUUAUUUAUAUUUUGAAUUUAUUUAAUUGGGGUGAUUGAAAAAUAAAUUUAACUUUUUUUGUAUUAUUAUAUUGAUUAAUAAAUUGUUGAUCCGAUAUUUUUGAUUAUAAGAUUAAAUUACCUUAGGGAUAACAGCGUAAUUUUAUUGGAGAGUUCAAAUUGAUAAUAAAGAUUGCGACCUCGAUGUUGGAUUAAAAUUUAUAAUUGGUGCAGAAGCUAUAUUAUUAAGUCUGUUCGACU
rnacentral:rRNA from 1 species